rnacentral:lncRNA from 1 species
CUUCAAAGGCUGGGGAGAAUCAGAAUUAUACAGGGAGGGAGAGACUGAGUGUGAGUGAGUGUGCGUGGCAGUGGUGUUUCUUAGGACGAUGGGUUCUGGGGGGUCAUAAUCUGCUUCGAGGAGGUUUUCAUUUCUGGCUGAACAAGGCUGUGGUAAGGCAAGUCCGGAAGGCAUGCUGGAAACUUGAGGGAAGUUUUGAAUGGAAACUGCAGUCAACAGCUCCAUAUGAUCCGCAUGUGGCUUCCCCAGAGGCAAGUUUUCAGCUGCGUGGUGGCCUCUCCCAGUCACUCCACAGGCUGCCCUGACGCUAUUAAUAUUUGCUGAAGCAAGACCUGAGGUUCGUUGCAGAUGGAUUACACAAUGUAUUCCAAAACCAAAUGUUACUGUUUUCCUGUAUUCUCCAUCCUUUCAAAUUGGCCAGGCUAACAUAGACCUCCACUGAGAGAAUUUCAGAAUCAUUUGGUAGUUGAGAAGCGCCUACUUCAUGCGGAGGCCCCGUGGGAGGAGUGGAAGAGUUGGCCUCAGCACUGGCGAGUAUCGGAUGGGAGCUCUGCUCACUUGGUAAGUCCUUCUGCUAGAACCAAGGGAGGCUGUUCAGAUCCAUCACAAAGAAGUUGUCGGUCACAUCCAGGUUGUCUUCUGAGUUUGAGGUGGGAUGGAGGUGGCUGCUGAGAAUCCAUGUGGGUCAAGAGCUCCAAAGCUUCACUUUUACUUCGCACUCUGUCCCGGGGCAUGGACGUCCUCAAUGGAGGUCAUGCAAGCCCUUCCCCCUCACCCCUUCUCUUGGCCCUCUUCAUUGUCUCUACAUACCCUUGGGUCAAGAGUGUAGUGGUUCUCCCUUGUCACCCUGGAAGAGAAGCUCUUAGUUUUAUUUGCUGGGUCUCCUAGACUGAAAUGAUAAAGCUGAAAUGAUAAAAGGCGUAUCAUGGCUUUAGAACCCUUCUUAUUUCCCUCGCUCGCACCCCCUAGUUUUCCUUCUCUUCCCUUGAAAAUCAGUGAAAAUCAGGCCACAUCUCUGAUGAUGGCCUUUUGUUUCUUUUUCUUUUUCUGUUUCUGCCUUCGUUAGGUAAGCACAAAUUUGAUGUCCCAAGAGGCAGGCCGGUGACCCUUCAGGCCAAGUGCCUGGAUGUGGCAAAGCUACAAUAAAUAUCGAAUGGUGAGAGCAAUGGAAAUUUAGCAAAGCCAUAACCGGGGAGACCUCAGAGGGGCAGUGGACUGGUUAAGAGGCUGUUGGAUGAGCCGGGUAGUAUUUCUACUUCAACCUGAUUGAAAUGUCGACUAAAAAUCAAUGCUGUUGACUAGUGAUAAUUUACAACGUUCCUGGUGCUAAGUAGUUCCCCGCUUAAGAAUGCGUUGGCUGGGCAGAGAUUAGCGCAGGGAGUUGUGUGUGUCACAAUGAAUCAGACGCAUUAUAGGUCAGCCCUUUAUUUGUUUCAUCAUGACUUUUACACAGUUGUCAUGUAAUUUAUGGCUGCUUUCACGUUGUCAAACAUUUUCAUUGCAUCUUCUUCUUUAACACCCUCCUGACAUAGACACACUGCACUUGAAGGCUUGGUAUUGUUUCAUAAUCCGAGAGGAGGCCUAUAAACCAUCAAAUUACACUAUCUUUGGGCUAAUCUAAAUGCGCUGCAGAUUAAAAUCAGAGCUCAUUUGUCCCUGAUGCAAAUUAUUAAGUUCUAAUUAUAAAUACCCAUUUAAUUACCCGACACAUUUUUAUUUUGCGGACCCUUUUGAGCACUGCUGUCUGCGAUGCAGAGGGGGUGGGGGGAGAUGCAUAGGAGACAAUCUGCAGUAAUUAAUGUACACUUCCCAAAUGGUAAAGGAUAAACAUAUGCUGCUUUGUUUGUCUUAUUUAUUUAUUGAUUAGAUGUAUAGAGACUUUGGCGUGGGCACAAUCUGAAGUUGAAAUCCUUUUAAAGAUGAAAACUAUUUAAAAAUCUUUUGGGGAAGAAAGAGCAAAAUAUAGCCAACCAAUAGCUUUCUGCUAGAACACAUCAUCCCAAAAUAUGGGAUUCUGAAUUUGAUCAAAUCACCAGUUUCUGAAUUUGAUCAAAUCUAGAUUUUGCAGAAGUUCAGGGUGAGAGAAACCAUGCCUGUUUUAUAUCUAGAAAGUGAAAUCAUUGUUAUAGAAAAAACCUACUGUGGUUAGAAAAAAACCACAUUCUUUUUUCCCAGCCCUGCUGCCAUCCUCUACCAGAAAAUAACAGUAUCUGCCUGUAGUAUGAAGACCUUCCAAUUGAGAGCAUUAUGAUAAACUAUUUUUGAUUACCAAACACGAAUGAAGGAAGAAGAUAACAUAAAAAUUAGUAAAGGCCUUCCAAGUAGACAUUUACCCUUCUGUGAAAGCCAUGGAGAAAUUACCAAGACUGGUUUGGGGGGAGGGCAUUUAAGGUCUUUUGGGCAUUACAGAUUUUCCAGAACCAAACUUUGACUUUUAGUGUUAACAGAGAGACACUGAUCUGAAAACCAGGACACCUGGGUUCUGACCCUUAUUGUAUCAUGCUGUGAGAUUUUGGGCUCCCUUCACCUGUUAGCAUUUGUUUCCUUGUCUUGUAAAGUAGGUAAAAUAGAUAGUUUGGACUGGGUGGGUCUCUAAGUCCCCAUGAUGUUCUAGCAUAGUAUGAACACCACUGACCAGUUUUCUCCCUGCUAUUUUUUGGAAUCUAGUUGCUGAAUGGGGCUCACCUGCAAAGACAGCAGAAUAUUAUUUUCUUGAUUUGCCUCAAAGAUGGAAGCUAUGGUGGAGAUUAAGGCUUGGAUUCGUGAUUCCCCAACAGAAAGCUUAAAGGCAUCUUUCAAAUUGCUGGAAGCAAAAUUGAAGUGCAGUAUAAUGGAAUGGUGAUAAUUCACAGAAGUUUCCAGCCUUAUAAGAUUUCUCCAUCUUUUAAUUGUUGCAAGCUGUUUUUUUUGAAAAACUCCAAAGAAUGUAAUGUGUAUUUUCUCCAAGUUUGCUUUUUUGGGCAAAUGUAACUACAUCAAAAUAGAAGUACGUUUUUGAAAAAGAAAUAGUUGAAUUCAAACAACCAGGUAUUUUAAAUUCAAUUAACUGACUGAAUUCAGUGAUAUUUUCCUCCUUCCUCCUCCCAAAAGCUGGUUUCUCUGUAUGGACAUAGCCUACAUAUGCUGAGUCCCUGGAGUUAGGAAUUUUUGCUUGUUAAAGGCAUCCGAUGCAACAUGUUUAGAAGAACUCUCCCUCUGUUAGUGUUGAAGACAGCAUAAAUUGAGGGAAAAUGUUCUUUUUUUAUUCAUCAUGUAGGUAAAAGCAUAUGGCCUGUUCUGGGACAUGCGAUCUUUGCAAUCCAUUUUUUAAACUUGGUGUUUACCAUUGGCUUUUAGCACGGAUGUUUCUGUUUUCCACACUGUCCAGCAAAUACCAUUUAUAUGUGGCAUUGAAUGAGAUAUGAAAUGUUUUCAGAAGCAUGCUGAAAAAGGGCAUUCAAAGUUAUCCUUUGGAUAAUGAUGAUCUAAAACUUUCUUUUAUUAUCCCAUGUGCUCAGAGUAAGGGGCAAAUGAAUCAGUUGUGAAAUAUGUGUUCCUUGUAGGACACAGGCACUCUUGAGAUCUAUAGCUUCAAUAAAAAGGUAAUUUAUUUAAAUUACUGCCUCUUUAAUUUAUAAUGUUUUGGGGAUUUUUAAUAGGCAUGCUCUGUAAGGGCACUGGUAAUCAGCUGUUUCUGAUUUUGCAUGCUCUUCUAUCUCUGGUAACAAAAUAAAAUCUU